AAUAGGAAGCUACCUGCGAAAAGGAAUUUCUUGAGAAUGGGUGAUAAGGCGGAUUGGGGUGAUACUUUUUUAAGGCAUUUGAUUGAUGCUUGCAAAGAAGAGAUUGAAGCAGGGAAUAGGCCGAUGGGAAUUUUCACUACUACCGGUUGGAAGAACGUUGUUUCCAAGUUUGCAGAAAAAUCCGGUGAUACGAGAACAAAAAAACAAUUGAAGAACAAGUUAGAUCUUCUGAAAAAGGAGUAUGUCACGUUUAUGGAGUUCAAGAAUUGUGCAACUGGUCUUGGAUGGGAUGAGGCAAAACAAACUGUUGACUGCUCAGACGAAUGGUGGGACGAACACCUUGCUGUAAGAACUAUGUUUCUUGAUAAUUAUAUUCUUCCCAUUCUUU